CCGCAUGGGGAUAUUUGCUAAAGAUUCAUCGCUGAUAGAUAGGCAUGCGUUCCAUUAGGCAGUUGGCGGGGUAACGGCCCACCAAAUCGACGAUGGAUAGGGGUUCUGAGAGGAAGGUCCCCCACAUUGGUACUGAGACACGGACCAAACUCCUACGGGAGGCAGCAGUGAGGAAUAUUGGUCAAUGGGCGUAAGCCUGAACCAGCCAAGUCGCGUGAGGGAUGAAGGUUCUAUGGAUCGUAAACCUCUUUUAUAAGGGAAUAAAGUGCGGGACGUGUCCCGUUUUGUAUGUACCUUAUGAAUAAGGAUCGGCUAACUCCGUGCCAGCAGCCGCGGUAAUACGGAGGAUCCGAGCGUUAUCCGGAUUUAUUGGGUUUAAAGGGUGCGUAGGCGGCCUUUUAAGUCAGCGGUGAAAGUCUGUGGCUCAACCAUAGAAUUGCCGUUGAAACUGGGAGGCUUGAGUAUGUUUGAGGCAGGCGGAAUGCGUGGUGUAGCGGUGAAAUGCUUAGAUAUCACGCAGAACCCCGAUUGCGAAGGCAGCCUGCCAAGCCAUGACUGACGCUGAUGCACGAAAGCGUGGGGAUCAAACAGGAUUAGAUACCCUGGUAGUCCACGCAGUAAACGAUGAUCACUAGCUGUUUGCGAUACACAGUAAGCGGCACAG
rnacentral:rRNA from 1 species